GUGCGAUUGGAUUGCACGUCUAAGCAGUAAGGCUGAGUAUUAGGCAAAUCCGGUACUCGUUAAGGCUGAGCUGUGAUGGGGAGAAGACAUUGUGUCUUCGAGUCGUUGAUUUCACACUGCCGAGAAAAGCCUCUAGAUAGAAAAUAGGUGCCCGUACCGCAAACCGACACAGGUAGUCAAGAUGAGAAUUCUAAGGUGAGCGAGCGAACUCUCGUUAAGGAACUCGGCAAAAUGACCCCGUAACUUCGGGAGAAGGGGUGCUCUUUAGGGUUAACGCCCAGAAGAGCCGCAGUGAAUAGGCCCAAGCGACUGUUUAUCAAAAACACAGGUCUCUGCUAAACCGUAAGGUGAUGUAUAGGGGCUGACGCCUGCCCGGUGCUGGAAGGUUAAGAGGAGUGGUUAGCUUCUGCGAAGCUACGAAUCGAAGCCCCAGUAAACGGCGGCCGUAACUAUAACGGUCCUAAGGUAGCGAAAUUCCUUGUCGGGUAAGUUCCGACCCGCACGAAAGGCGUAACGAUUUGGGCACUGUCUCAACGAGAGACUCGGUGAAAUCAUAGUACCUGUGAAGAUGCAGGUUACCCGCGACAGGACGGAAAGACCCCGUGGAGCUUUACUGUAGCCUGAUAUUGAAAUUCGGCACAGCUUGUACAGGAUAGGUAGGAGCCUUUGAAACGUGAGCGCUAGCUUACGUGGAGGCGCUGGUGGGAUACUACCCUAGCUGUGUUGGCUUUC
rnacentral:rRNA from 1 species